CAUGUAGGUGGUCUUGUAAGUCAAAGGUGAAAUGGCCCGGCUCAACCAGGUCAUUGCCUUUGAAACUGCAGGACUCGAGUGCGGAAGAGGAAAGCGGAAUUCCCAGUGUAGCGGUGAAAUGCGUAGAUAUUGGGAGGAACACCGGUGGCGAAGGCGGCUUUCUGGUCCGAUACUGACACUGAGAUGCGAAAGCCAGGGGAGCAAACGGGAUUAGAUACCCCGGUAGUCCUGGCCGUAAACGAUGAGUACUAGGUGUUAGAGGUAUCCACUCCUCUAGUGCCGCAGCUAACGCAUUAAGUACUCCACCUGGGGACUACGACCGCAAGGUUGAA
rnacentral:rRNA from 1 species